UCUUCAUUUAAUUCUGGCAAAUAUUUAAAUAAAAAAUUUUAAAAAUCCCAAGUCUUAAAAGAACAUACACCUUGAUAGAAACAUUCACCAUGUCUUUACAAUACUUUAAAUACAAGCACAGAUUAGUGAGCGUUGCCAUAAGUUUUCCCAUAGAAGAUGAAUUGCACACUGUGGAUCGUUUCUUCAAUGCGGCAUAUUUUUAGGGGACCUCAUGGCAUACAGUUUGCUGAUAAUGGACCUAAAGCAAAAGAGGAAUUCCCAUCAUGGAGGCAGCAAUGAUAAUUCUGGAAUUGCGGCAGACUCUGCAACAAAACACUCCUGUAUGGAACUGGGUCCCAGGACUUACUCAACCUCAGCUAUUCAUCUACAGACUUCCACUCCCAUCUCCAGGCUGCAGAGCAGACCAAAAGGUGUGCAAUGGCAGUGCAUCUAAUAUACCAGGUGUAACUACAGCUUGGGCUACUUUGCAGGUCCUGCUUUGGUGAAACAUGGCUUCUAGUGCCAUUCAAGUAUAAAACCAGAGCAUUAGUAUCUUCAUUACUAUUUUAUUUGCUUAGUGGUUUAAUUGAUCAGAUACAGGGUUUCCCCACUCUUGUCAUGUCAUCAACUUGACAGACCACCUUUGGAUGUCAGUUCUCCUGUGGUUCCCUGCCCAGUGGCUCGCAGCAGUGGUUAUAAGAUGGCUGCUUUUCCAGUGUUGGCUCUGGUCGCCUCAGUCUUCUACACUGCUAGAAUGUAUUGGAGACUGACCUGAAGGAUUAACUUUCCUGUGUUAAUUUUGCCUUUUAAGUUUUGUAUUCAUUUCAGGCUAUAAUUCAGAACAUAAUCUAUGUGAACAGUCCCCUGAGGUGGAGUUUGCAAGCGCCAGACAGCACGGUAAGCUUGUAGCAUGCACGAAAGCUCUAGACUUCUACAUUAAGACUUGUUCCAUUGCAUCAACAUGCAGUUUCCUGGAGCAUUUCAGUUAAAUUAGCAUGAUAGAAGAAGAUGUAGUAAUGCAACCCAUUUUUGGAAUUUGAGUUUAAGUACUUCUGUUUUUCUAUUGAGAAGCUUUUAAUGGACUUUUUCCUGAAAUAAGUUUU
rnacentral:lncRNA from 1 species